UGAGGAAUAUUGGUCAAUGGACGAGAGUCUGAACCAGCCAAGUAGCGUGAAGGAUGAAGGUCCUACGGAUUGUAAACUGCUUUAGACAGGGAAGAAACAAGACAGUACCUGUAGAAUAAGCUCCGGCUAACUACGUGCC
rnacentral:rRNA from 1 species